AUACUGGCCAGAGACCGAUAGCGCACAAGUAGAGUGAUCGAAAGAUGAAAAGCACUUUGGAAAGAGAGUUAAAAAGCACGUGAAAUUGUUAAAAGGGAAGGGAUUGCAACCAGACUUGCUCGCGGUGUUCCGCCGGUCUUCUGACCGGUCUACUCGCCGCGUUGCAGGCCAGCAUCGUCUGGUGCCGCUGGAUAAGACUUGAGGAAUGUAGCUCCCUCGUGAGUGUUAUAGCCUCUUGUGAUGCAGCGAGCGCCGGGCGAGGACCGCGCUUCGGCUAGGAUGCUGGCGUAAUGGUUGUAAGCCACCCGUCUUGAAACACGGACC
rnacentral:rRNA from 1 species